rnacentral:lncRNA from 1 species
AGAAAUAAAGGAAAAAGAAAGAAAAAAAUAUGUAUAGUUGUUGAGUUAGUUACAAGGGGGCUUACAAAGAGCUCCGACCGAAGUUUAGGGACACUAACCUGAGUUCUGAGACUCCUACCAUGAAAAGAAGCAUCCGACCCUCAUCUCUCACGAAAAGAGUCUCAGUGAAAAUCUGGUAAAAAUGUAUACUAAGGAGGGAAAAAAUAAAAUAAAAGAAUAAAUAGUUCCGCCAGCUGUCUCCGCGCGCUGUCUCUGGGGGUCCGUGAGACCCCGAACAGAAUUGGAACCAGUCAGUGGCUCCGUGCGCUGUCUCUGGGCGUCCGUGAGACCCUGAACAGAAUUGGAACCAGACAGUGGCUCCGCGCGCUGUCUCUGGGGGUUCGUGAGACCCCUAAAAAGAAUUAGAACCAGACAGUGGCUCCGCCCGCUGUCUCGCAGGGUCCGUGAGACCCCGAACAGAAUUUGAACCAGACAGUGGCUCUGCGCGCUGUCUCUGGGCGUACGUGAGACCCCGAACCGAAUUGGAACCAGACAGUGGCUCCCCGCGCUGCCUCCGGGGGUCCGUGAGACCCCGAACCGAAUUGGAACCAGACAGUGGCUCCGCGCGCUGUCUCUGGGCGUCCGUGAGACCCCAAAAAAAAUUGGAACCAGACAGUGGCUCCGCGCGCUGUCUCUGGGGGUCCGUGAGACCCCAAACAGAAUUGGAACCAGACAGUGGCUCCCCGCGCUGUCUCUGAGGGUCCGUGAGACCCCGAACAGAAUUGGAACCCGACAGUGGCUCCGCGCGCUGUCUCUGGGCGUCCGUGAGACCCCAAACAAAAUUGGAACCAGACAGUGCUUCCGCGCGCUGUCUCCGGGGGCCGUGGGGACCCCAAAAAAAAAUUGGAACCAGACAGUGGCUCCGCGCGCUGUCUCGCGGGGUCGGUGAGACCCCGUACAGAGUUGGAACGAAACACAGGCUCCGAGCGCUGUCUCCCGGGGUCCGUGAGACCCCGUACAGAAUUGGAAGUAAACACAGGCUCCGCACGCUGUCUCGCACGGUCCGUGAGACCCCGAACAGAAUUGGAACCAAACUGUGGCUCCGAGCGCUGUCUCGCGGGGUCCGUGAGACCCCAUACAGAAUUUGAAGGAAACACAGGCUCUGCGCGCUGUCUCGCACUGUCCGUGAGACCCCGAAAAGAAUUGGAACGAAACACAGGCUCCGAGCGCUGUCUCGCGGGGUCCGUGAGACCCCGUGCAGAAUUGGA